UCACAUUGGUGAAUAUACAUUGUGUAUUCGUGUCACCAUGGUGAAUAUAUAUUUGUGUUUAUUUUUCUUCUGGUUACGCGAAACAGGCAGAAUUUUAUAUGUCAGCAUGAACAAGAUUGUCCAAGGAGCAACUGAAUCAUGUUGGAAGAUUUUUAAAACAUAUUGGCGGUAUGCUGUUUUCCUGCUGGAUGCCCGCAAUCUCAUUUGCUAAAUGUAUAUGCAACGCACACUGCCACUCUAAGGAUUUUCAUUAUUGAGCAAUUAUGUAGCAAAAACGCAGGGGAACCAUACAAGAUUUCGGAUUGCUCUUUGGGUGCGAUGAUUGUUGAGAGGCAAUGACUACCGAAAUUUUCGCAACACAAAAUAACACGCUAUCAGUGUACAUACGUGUAUCGAAUAUAAUUUGGCGAAGACUCAAACAAUGGCAUCUUCACCCAACAUGACAGAACGCUGCUGGUCGGUUGUUGUUGUUGU